rnacentral:lncRNA from 1 species
GGGGGGAUGGAUUUAGGUGAACAUAUUCUUUGUGUCCCGAAUUUUUUUCAUUUUGUAAAAUAAUAAUGCACGAUAUUUUGGUCGAUUUAAAUUUCAAUAUAUAUAUUUUAAAUAUAUCAAUCAAGACUUUUUAUUUUUUUUACUGAUAGCAAAUUCGACAACUUCAAAAUUUUCCGAUAAAUUUGAAAACUGAUAUGAUAAAAUUAUCUAUUUUAAAUGUG